UAAGAUGCUACUUGCCUAUUUUGGAUUAACU
rnacentral:piRNA from 1 species